rnacentral:rRNA from 1 species
ACAGCAGCAGCCGCGGUAAAACGGAGGGUGCAAGCGUUAUCCGGAUUUAUUGGGUUUAAAGGGUCCGUAGGCGGAUCUGUAAGUCAGUGGUGAAAUCUCACAGCUUAACUGUGAAACUGCCAUUGAUACUGCAGGUCUUGAGUAAAUUUGAAGUGGCUGGAAUAAGUAGUGUAGCGGUGAAAUGCAUAGAUAUUACUUAGAACACCAAUUGCGAAGGCAGGUCACUAAGAUUUAACUGACGCUGAUGGACGAAAGCGUGGGGAGCGAACAGGAUUAGAUACCCGCGUAGUCCCUGUCUCUUAUAC